UACGAAGGGGGCGAGCGUUGUUCGGAAUCAUUGGGCGUAAAGGGUGCGUAGGCGGCGCGGUAAGUCGGGUGUGAAAUCUCGGGGCUUAACUCCGAAACUGCAUUCGAUACUGCCGUGCUUGAGGACUGGAGAGGAGACUGGAAUUUACGGUGUAGCGGUGAAAUGCGUAGAUAUCGUAAGGAAGACCAGUGGCGAAGGCGGGUCUCUGGACAGUUCCUGACGCUGAGGCACGAAGGCCAGGGGAGCAAACGGG
rnacentral:rRNA from 1 species